rnacentral:lncRNA from 1 species
GAGAAAACUGAGGCUAGGGUCUUAUGGAAGAGGGAGUCAGCUCUGGAGAUCUGGGCCAGAGCCUCAACUCUCAACCACUGCACUACUACUUCUAGUGUUGGCUACUGGAUACAAGGACAAGAAUGAAAAUACUGAAAUAUGGCAAGAUUUCUAACAGAAUGAAAGCCAAGAAACACUGAAAACACAGUUUUGAGAUUUCCGGUUUAAUUUCCAGGACAAAGAGAUUCAUUGUCGGUUUAUAUCAUCUUUGCUACAUGGCUACCUGGAUCAACAAAAGCUGUUGACCUCUGUGGGGUCACCCGGUAUCCCAUUCUGGUUCUGAUUUUGCACUACUCCUCACAGUAGUGGAGCGCUGGGAUUUUGAGGCCAGGAUUUCUUUACCAAAUUGGCUCUUAAUCAUUCCCAAAGGAAGAACUGGAAAAUAGUUGGGAUUUUUCUUCUAUACUUGCACAUUAGUUUAUUCUCAGAGCACUUAUCAUGUGUGUUUUGAGCCACAUGUUGGGUAAAGAUGGAAGAAGCAUUUAACUACUUUUUUCCCCUAAAGAGCAAUAUCAUAUUUUCGUUAGUGUAGUGCUUUGUUUUGUUU